AUUAAUCCUUCCAGCUAUCAAACAAGUUAUUAGGCAAAAUAACUUAGUUGCGGAUGCUCCUUUCUUGUCCAGAUUACCAGCCUUGUUCUGUAACUUGUAACGGUUUAUUGAGAAGCCACCUUCAACACAGGGAGUUCCCCACUGAAGGUGUGAUGCAACAAACUGUUUGCAGAUUCUUUUCUUUAGCCCUACUUCAAACACAUAUCAGCCCCUUGUAUCCCUUCCCCUGAGCUAACAAUGAGCCAAGAACCAGGCCGAUGUAUGGUAAAUAUAUUAGUAUUUAUUUAAAUUAAAAGUAAUAGAAAUUAGCACGAAAAUGUCAAAGACCACUUUAUCCGUGGCUCAACACAAUCAACUUCUCUCAUCAUGAAUAAAUCACAAAAGUGAAUUGAAAAUAACACAAUCAUAAUUCUUCACUUGCUACAAAUUUCACUUCACUAAAUAAUUACACUGAUCAAUAACGAAAGUAGUUAUCAAGUAGUGUUGUGUGAUUUUGAUUUUCCUGCAGGCUUAAAAGACUAGCAGUAGGAUUUCAAGAUUGGUACAAAUACAUAUGGCAAUUAUAAUUUUGCCCACACUUUUAGAUUAAAGUUGCUGCAGUUAAAAAGCUUGCAGUUAGAUUUUGGGAUCAAGCUGGCGAUCCUCCGCGAGGUGAGCUACCGCCUGUCCCAGCCCCUGCCUCUCGACAUCCCCUUGAUGCUCCUGACUGAGUGUCCUGGGGGCCCGAAGCAUUUACUUUGAAAAAAAUAGAGUGUUCAAAAAAGGCCGGUCACCUGAAUACUUCAGCUAGGAAUAAUGGAAUACGAGUCCGGUUCUAUUUUGUUGGUUUUCGGAACUGGGGCCAUUAUUAAGAGGGACGGCGGGGGGGCAUUCCUAUUGUGCCGCUAGAGGUGAAUUUCUUGAUACGGGCGCAAGAUGAAGCAAAGCGAAAGCAUUUGCAAGAAUAUUUUCAUUAAUCAAGAAAGAAAGUCGGAGGUUAGAAGACGAUUAGAUACCGUCGUAGUUCUGACCAUAAACGAUGCCGACUAGAGAUAUAGCGGCAUUAUUCCCAUGACCCGCUGAGCAGCUUCCGGGAAACAAAGUCUUUGGGAUCCGGGGGAGUAUGGUUGCAAAGCUGAAACUUAAAGGAAUUGACGGAAGGGAACCACCAGGACUGCAGCCUGUGGCUUAAUUUGACUCAACACAGGAAACCUCAACACAGGAUUGACAGUUUGAUAGCUCUUUGUUGUUUCUGUGGGUGGUGGUGCUUGGCCAUUCUUAGUUGGUGGAGCCAUUUGUCUGGUUAAUUCUGAUAACAAAUGAGACUCCUCCAUGCUAACUAGUUGCGCGACCCCCAGCAGUCGGCGUUCAACUUCUUAGCGUGACAAGUGGUGUUCAGCCACACGAGAUUGAGCAAUAACAGGUCUGUGAUGCCCUUAGAUGACUGGGGCUGCAUGCGCGCUACACUGAACGGAUCGGCAUGUGUCUACCCUUCACCGACAGGUGCGGGUAACCCGCUGAACCACGUUCAUGAUAGGUAUUGGGGAUUGCAAUUAUUAUACAAUGAAUGCGGAAUUCCCAGUAAGUGGGGGUCAUAAGCUUGCAUUAUUUAAGUCCCUUCCCUUUGUACACACCGCCCAUCGCUACUACCAAUUGGAUGGUUUAGUGAGGUCCACGGAUCGGCCCUGCCAGGGUCGGCAAAGGCCCUGGCAGAGCGCUGAGAAGACUAACAAACUUGACCAUCUAGAGGAAGUAAAAGUCGUAACAAGGUUUCCGGAGGUGAACCUGCAGAAG
rnacentral:rRNA from 1 species